UACGUAGGGACCGAGCGUUGUCCGGAAUCAUUGGGCGUAAAGAGCGUGUAGGCGGCCACUUAAGUCCUGCGUGAAAUCUUGCGGCUCAACCGCAAGCGGUCGUGGGAAACUGGGUGGCUAGAGUGCGGGAGAGGAGAGUGGAAUUCCUGGUGUAGCGGUGGAAUGCGCAGAUAUCAGGAGGAACACCCGUAGCGAAGGCGGCACUCUGGGCCGAUACUGACACUGAGGAGCGAAAGCGUGGGGAGCGAACAGG
rnacentral:rRNA from 1 species